rnacentral:misc_RNA from 1 species
CCGAGUUUACAACUCCCAAACCCCGUGUGAACCUACCACGCCGUUGCCUCGGCGGGAUCGCCCCGGGCGCGUCGCAGCCCCGGGCCAAGGCGCCCGCCGGAGGAACCCCCGAAACCCCGAAUCACCCGCCCGGCGGGCCUUCUGUGACAUCUGAGCCUUCUCGGCGCCCCCAGCGGGCGUUCCGAAAAAUGAAUCA